UGGGGAAUCUUGGACAAUGGGCGCAAGCCUGAUCCAGCCAUGCCGCGUGAGCGAUGAAGGCCUUAGGGUUGUAAAGCUCUUUCACCGGUGAAGAUAAUGACGGUAGCCGGAGAAGAAGCCCCGGCUAACUCCGUGCCAGCAGCCGCGGUAAUACGGAGGGGGCUAGCGUUGUUCGGAAUUACUGGGCGUAAAGCGCGCGUAGGCGGACUGAUCAGUCAGGGGUGAAAUCCCGGGGCUCAACCCCGGAACUGCCUUUGAUACUGUCAGUCUUGAGUCCGGAAGAGGUGAGUGGAAUUCCAAGUGUAGAGGUGAAAUUCGUAGAUAUUUGGAGGAACACCAGUGGCGAAGGCGGCUCACUGGCUCGAUACUGACGCUGAGGUGCGAAAGUGUGGGGAGCAAACAGGAUUAGAUACCCUGGUAGUCCACACCGUAAACGAUGAAUGCCAGUCGUCGGGUAGCAUGCUAUUCGGUGACACACCUAACGGAUUAAGCAUUCCGCCUGGGAGUACGGUCGCAAGAUUAAAAGCUC
rnacentral:rRNA from 1 species